AUUGAACGCUGGCGGCAGGCCUAACACAUGCAAGUCGAACGAGUGGCGGACGGGUGAGUAAUGUCUGGGAAACUGCCCGCUGGAGGGGGAUAACUACUGGAAACGGAAGCUAAUACCGCAUACCAUCGGAUGUGCCCAGAUGGGAUUAGCGUGGUGGUGGGGGAACGGCUCACCUGGGCGCCGAUCCCUAGCUGGUCGGAGAGGAUGACCCGCCACUCUGGAACUGAGACACGGUCCAGACUCCGACGGGAGGCAGCAGUGGGGAAUAUUGCACAUUGGGCGCAUGCCUGGUGCAGCCAUGCCGCGUGGUUGAAGAAGGCCUUCGGGUUGUAAAGUACUUUCAGCGGGGAGGCGUUACCCGCAGAAGAAGCACCGGCUAACUCCGUGCCAGCAGCCGCGGUAAUUC
rnacentral:rRNA from 1 species